UUCGUAGGCGGUGUGGCAAGUCGGGAGUGAAAUCUCUGGGCUCAACUCAGAGACUGCUUCCGAAACUGCUGUGCUUGAGUGUGGGAGAGGCGCGUGGAAUUGCAGGUGUAGCGGUGAAAUGCGUAGAUAUCUGCAGGAACACCCGUGGCGAAAGCGGCGCGCUGGACCACUACUGACGCUGAGGAACGAAAGCUAGGGGAGCAAACAGGAUUAGAUACCCUGGUAGUCCUAGCCCUAAACGAUCAGGACUUGGGGUGCCACCCGUUCGGGUGUCGUCCCGGAGCUAACGCGUUAAGUCCUGCACCUGGGGAGUACGGUCGCAAGACUGAA
rnacentral:rRNA from 1 species